AUUGAACGCUGGUGGCAGGCCUAACACAUGCAAGUCGAGCGAGCGGCGGGCGGGUGUGUAUUGUGUGGGAGACUGCCUGAUGGAGGGGGAUAACUAUUGGCAAAGGUAGCUCAUACCGCAUACCAUCAGAUGUGCCCAGAUGGGAUUAGCUAGUAGGUGGGGUAACGGCGCACCAAGGCGCCGCGCACUAGCUGGUCUGAGAGGAUGACCAGCCACACUGGAACGGAGACACGGCCCAGACUCCUACGGGAGGCAGCAGUGGGGAAUUUUGGACAAUGGGCGCAAGCCUGAUGCAGCCAUGCCGCGUGUGUGAAGAAGGCCUUCGGGUUGUAAAGCACUUUCAGCGGGGAGGCGGUACCCGCAGAAGAAGCACCGGCUAACUCCGUGCCAGCAGCCGCGGUAAUAC
rnacentral:rRNA from 1 species